AGAGUUUGAUCAUGGCUCAGGAUGAACGCUAGCGGCAGGCUUAACACAUGCAAGUCGAGGGGCAGCAUAAUGGAUAGCAAUAUCUAUGGUGGCGACCGGCGCACGGGUGCGUAACGCGUAUGCAACCUACCUUUAACAGGGGGAUAACACUGAGAAAUUGGUACUAAUACCCCAUAAUAUCAUAGAAGGCAUCUUUUAUGGUUGAAAAUUCCGAUGGUUAGAGAUGGGCAUGCGUUGUAUUAGCUAGUUGGUGGGGUAACGGCUCACCAAGGCGACGAUACAUAGGGGGGACUGAGAGGUUAACCCCCCCANACUGGUACUGAGACACGGACCAGACUCCUACGGGAGGCA
rnacentral:rRNA from 1 species